CUCACGAUUUUAAAAGAAUGCACAUGGAAAUUAAAGUUUUAACACACACACACACACACACACACACACACACACACAGAGAGGGGAUUAAUCUAAUAAACACGAUGCUAAUUUUUUGUUAAGGACCGAUGAUGACAUGAAAUUCUAGUAUUUAGACCGAGUCUAAUUACCUGAUUUUGGAUUUUUAAUCUGCAUGGCAUGGAUUGAAGCAACACGUAUAGUUUAUUUAUACUUCAAUCAUGCAUUAACUUGAUUUAAUGUAUUUGACUUAUCAAAUGCACAAUUAAUAAUUUAAUUAAUGUAUUUGAAACAUAAAAUGCAAAAUAUCAUGCUAAGGUAGUAUAAUUAAGGAAAAAUAGAUCAUCUCAAAUUCACUUUUGUCUAAAAUACAAUACGAAACCCUAACACAUCUACAUUUGUCCAUCAACCUUUGCUUAAUCAACGUAGAUAUCACUCGUCAAUCCUAAUAUUGAACACAUUAACAUUGGCUCAAAAUAUCCGAGCCUGUGAUUGCACGGACAAAAACUAGUAUUUUGUACAAGUAUUUGAUUUUGGCUCAUUUUUGUACCAACUCAUAGUCAGCCUUGGUGAUAGAUUUGAUAUCUAGUCAGUAUUAUUAUUAGUGCACGUCAGUUUCGGGUCCACUAGGCUGAUUCGGGACGGGUCAUAUCACAUGUUUUUAAACUUUGCUUUACGAUAGAAUUAUGCAAGCAUAAAUUCUAGAGCAUAAAUUCUGAGAUGAUGGUCAGUUCACUUUGCUACACUAGGUCCCACAAUAUAAACUCUACUAAAUUAUAGGAGCGGAAAGUACUAAUUUUAGAAAAUUACUCACGAUUUUUAAAAAAUUGCACGUGAGCACAUGAAAAUCAAAGUUUUAUAACACACACACACAUAGAGAUAGAGAGAGUGAGAGAGAGAGAGAGAGAGAGAAGGAAGAAUAAUCUAAUAAGCACUGAAAUUCUAGUAUUUAGACCAACUCUAACUACUUGAUUUUGAAUUUUUAAUCUGCAUGGCAUGGAUUGAAGUAACACGUGUAGUUAAUUUAUACCUCAAUCAUGUAUUAACUUGAUUUAAUAUAUUUGACAUAUCAAAUGCACAAUCAAUAAUUUUAAUGAAUGUAUUUGAAACAUAAAAUGCAAAAUAUCAUGCUAAGGUAGUAUAAUUAAGGAAAAAUAGAUCAUCUCAAAUUCACUUUUGUCUAAAAUACAAUACGAAACCCUAACACAUCUACAUUUGUCCAUCAACCUUUGCUUAAUCAACGUAGAUAUCACUCGUCAAUCCUAAUAUUGAACACAUUAACAUUGGCUCAAAAUAUCCGAGCCUGUGAUUGCACGGACAAAAACUAGUAUUUUGUACAAGUAUUUGAUUUUGGCUCAUUUUUGUACCAACUCAUAGUCAGCCUUGGUGAUAGAUUUGAUAUCUAGUCAGUAUUAUUAUUAGUGCACGUCAGUUUCGGGUCCACUAGGCUGAUUCGGGACGGGUCAUAUCACAUGUUUUUAAACUUUGCUUUACGAUAGAAUUAUGCAAGCAUAAAUUCUAGAGCAUAAAUUCUGAGAUGAUGGUCAGUUCACUUUGCUACACUAGGUCCCACAAUAUAAACUCUACUAAAUUAUAGGAGCGGAAAGUACUAAUUUUAGAAAAUUACUCACGAUUUUUAAAAAAUUGCACGUGAGCACAUGAAAAUCAAAGUUUUAUAACACACACACACAUAGAGAUAGAGAGAGUGAGAGAGAGAGAGAGAGAGAGAAGGAAGAAUAAUCUAAUAAGCACUGAAAUUCUAGUAUUUAGACCAACUCUAACUACUUGAUUUUGAAUUUUUAAUCUGCA
rnacentral:lncRNA from 1 species